UCAUAUGAAUCAGAGUGAGACCUCUGUUGCCGUUUUCUUUGGUGUGUGUUGCCUCCGGAGCAGCAGGUGGCGCUGGUGUCGUCAGUUGAACCCCGGAAGUAGCAGCGGUGACUUCGGUGUAAACAAGUUUCUGUGGAUUCAAUCUGGACCGAAGCAGAAGAUGGAGACGUCCGGCAGAAGAACCGUGGACAGGAUCCACUCCGCGGUCCUGCUGGCGGUUGUGGUCUUGUCCUGGUCUUAUGUCAUCUACGCCAGCAGGAUUGCAGCUCAUUGGCUGCUGGAGAAGCGGACCGCCGUCCUCCGACAAGACUGAUGGUGCACUGGACCCUCGCCACGUCAACGUCGCUGAUGAGGAUCAACCCUGAAUUUCUCGCACAAGUUGCAGGGAGAGACGCAGAUGAGGACGUCAGCUUGGAGAGACGAGGAGAUUCCAGAGCUUUUGGUGAUAAGGGCCGACACUGGUGUGGAUGUCCGGCCUCCUGCUGCUCUACAGGCUCCACCCCCCGCCUGAAUGUUCCGAACAUUUCCCUGUUGGUGUGAACGAGUCUGACCCGAACGAUCUCCUGCUGCUUCUGCACACGAGAAACACAAACUCCAGAAAACGUCCAGACACCAUUUUACAGGGUUCGUGUCUGAAGACGGCUCAUCUUCACCCAUCUUUAAAAUGUAUUUUAUCUUUUAAAUGUAUUUUAAGAUGCUUUACUGUCAGUGUCUUUAUCUGUUUGGGAGGUUAUGUUGUCAUUCCUGUUUGUUUGUUUGUUUGUUUGUUUGUUUGUUUGUCAGCAGGAUGAUCAGAUUACCAGUCAACAUGGUGGAAGGAUGUUUUAUGGGUCAGACAAGAACUCAUUACACAGUAGAUUUUUCCUCUCUGUUUUUGUGAGAUAGAAAGUUUUUCAACGUUUUCACUGAUUUCUCAGAGAACAAUUCAUGGAUUUGAUUAAAUUAAUCAGACAUGUUUAGAGAACUGAUAUUUAUGAGUGUGUGUGUGAUUUGGAGCAGCUUGAUUGAAUUUAAAGACUGUUGAAUGAGCUCGACUGAAUGUUUUGUCUUAUUUCAGCUCAUCAGAUUUUUGUGACCUGCACUGAACUGAUGUUGACACCACAGAACUUUACAAGCUAAUCGUUCGUGCUAUGCUAACCAUCCUCUGUGUGUAUCUUCGAUCUGAACAUCAAGCUCCUGACGAGACAGAAAUGUUUCCUGUUCUUAAAUGAAUUAGAAAUGUAUUAAACAGGAGGAGUACUUAAUGUUACUUAAUAUUAUGUCCUAUUUUUGUUUAUAAUUCUUAUUCAUAUUUAACAUUCAGUUUUUUAUCAGUUAGAAAAGCUUCAGUUUCAUCCAGUGUGAUUUAAAUCAGUGUUUCCAGUCAUGAAGGUGGUGAUGAUCAGAAACACAUCAGCUCAUUGUAACUGUUUGUGUGUGUGUGUUUGUCUGAUGUAUUCGUUAAUUAAAGCCUCUGACACACACACACACAUUUUAUAACGAUGUGUUUGAUGUGUGUGUCCUCAGAUAUGUAAAUGCACGCUGCAGAAUGGAUGAUGAGAGAGUGGGCGAGUGCGCUAAAGCUUGAAUGAGAGAGGUGAGAGAGAGAGAGAAGAGAGGCUCUUGAGGUGAGUACUCAUUCUAUUACCACAAACACUUCAAACACACACACUCCCUGUUGCCUGUAAUUAAAAACCUGCUUAUCGUUGCUGCCUCUGCGAUCGGGCCCCGACAUUUUUCUCAGGCUGGGAUACCCGGAUAAAAACAGUCUGGUAAAGAGGUUGUGUGAAAAUGUUGAAUAAAACCAAUCUUCUGACUAUAA